rnacentral:lncRNA from 1 species
GAUUAUAUUAUUUCCCUUUUAUGAGAAUUUUUUUGGAUUGAUUUAAACCACUUUCACCAGCCCACUAAUUAGCCAUUUUCAUCUCAUACCCUUUAACUUAAGUCCAAAAAAUUGUAAUCUUAUUAUUACUGUCGUCCAUCCAUGAAAACUAUAGCCUUUCAUUUUGAAAACUAUCCUUUAUAUUUUAAACCUCAUUCAAACUCAAUAUUUACCACAAAAAAAAAAAAAAUUAAACCAUUUAACACAUCAAUUUUGGUGGCUCUCUUUCUCCACUCAAUUUUGUUGGAUUACUUUCUACACUUUAUACACA